UAAAUUGUUUAUAUUUUAAGUAUAUUUUAUUUUAUUAAUUUUUAUUGAAAAAAUUUUUUUAAUUAUAGUUAAAAGUAUUGUGAAAGAAUAUUUUUAUAUUUGUAAAAGAAGAUUUAGAUUAUCGUACCUUGUGUAUCAGGGUUUACUGAUUUAGUUUUAAUUAUUUAUUUAUCCCGAAUUCAGAAGGGCUAAUUGAUUAUUAAUUUUAUUGUUGAAUAAAUAUUUAUAAUAUUCGAUUAGUAAUGAAAUGUUAUUCGUUUCUGAAUUUAUCUGGUUUCUUAAGAAAUAAAUUCAAUUUAUUUUGCUUGAAUAUUAUUUUAAUUUAAAAAAGUAAUGUUUAUUCAAUUAAAUAUCUAAGGGGAUUAGCUUUUGGGUAUUUUUAUAAAUCUUUUUUAUUUAAUAGUUUAUAGGAUUAGAAUUUUCCACUAAUAUAAGUAUGUUAUAAUAAGCUAUUUUGGUUUUUAUAUUUAUAUAGAUUUUAGAUUUAUUAUUAAGAUUUUUACUUUAAUUUGAUUGGUUAAGUAGUAAUGGUAUAAUUAGUAUAAUUUAUUGUAUUAUUAAGUUUAUAUUUAAGUUUAUUUUAAGGAAUUCGGCAAAUGAUUUUUCACCUGUUUAAUAAAAACAUGUCCUUUUGUUGAUGCUUUAAGGUCUGACCUGCCCAAUGAUGAGUUGAAUGGCCGCAGUAUUUUGACUGUGCAAAGGUAGCAUAAUCAUUAGUUUCUUAAUUAGAAGCUGGAAUGAAUGGUUUGAUGAGAAAAUUUCUGUCUCAAUAUAAAUGAUUUAGAAUUUUAAUUUUAAGUGAAAAAGCUUAAAUUUUUUAGGAAGACGAGAAGACCCUAUAGAGUUUUACAUUUAAUUAUAUUAAUUAAUUUUGGUUUUGAUUUUAUUUAUUUUAGUUAAUUGUUUUGUUGGGGUGAUAUUAAAAUUUAAUAAACUUUUAUUUUAUAUAUACAUUGAUUUAUGAAUAUUUGAUCCUAAUUUUUAGAUUAUAAGAUUAAAUUACCUUAGGGAUAACAGCGUAAUUUUUUUUGGAGAGUUCUUAUCGAUAAAGAAGUUUGCGACCUCGAUGUUGGAUUAAAAUUUAAUUUGGGUGUAGAAGCUUGAAUUUUAGGUCUGUUCGACCUUUAAAAUUUUACAUGAUCUGAGUUUAAACCGGUGUGAGCCAGGUUGGUUUCUAUCUCUUGAAAUUUAGAGUGUUUUAGUACGAAAGGACCAAAUACUUUAAUUAUAUUAUUAUGCGAGAAUAAAACU
rnacentral:rRNA from 1 species